rnacentral:rRNA from 1 species
CCCUUAGAUGUUCUGGGCAGCACGCGCGCUACAAUGGUCUUCGCAAACGGAUGCAUUCUCGAAGGAGAAUGCCAAUCUUGGAAUCUAUGCCUUGGUCGGGACAGUUGCUUGCAAUUUUUCGACUCGAACCAGGAAUUCCUUGUAAUCGUGAUUCAUCACAUCACGAUGAAUACGUCCCUGCCCUUUGUACACACCGCCCGUCGCUCCUACCGAUCGAAGAGUUAGGUGAAUUGUUUUGUUCGAUAAGAUUUGACUAUGGUCAACUCUCGUUGUGAAAUUCUGUGAAUCUGACUGUUUAGAGGAAGGAAAAGUCGUAACA